rnacentral:rRNA from 1 species
UACAGAGGGUGCGAGCGUUAAUCGGAAUUACUGGGCGUAAAGGGUGCGUAGGUGGUUUUGUAAGUUAGAUGUGAAAUUCCUGGGCUUAACCUGGGGACUGCGUCUGAUACUGCGAAGCUAGAGUACUGUAGAGGGAAGUGGAAUUUCCGGUGUAGCAGUGAAAUGCGUAGAUAUCGGAAGGAACAUCAGUGGCGAAGGCGACUUCCUGGGCAGAUACUGACACUGAGGCACGAAAGCGUGGGGAGCAAACAGG